rnacentral:rRNA from 1 species
AUUGAACGCUGGCGGCAUGCUUUACACAUGCAAGUCGAACGGUAACAGGGUGCUUGCACCGCUGACGAGUGGCGAAUGGGUGAGUAAUGCGUCGGAACGUGCCGAGUAGUGGGGGAUAACGCAGCGAAAGUUGUGCUAAUACCGCAUACGUACUGAGGUAGAAAGUGGGGGACCUUCGGGCCUCACGCUAUUCGAGCGGCCGACGUCUGAUUAGCUAGUAGGUGAGGUAAGAGCUCACCUAGGCGACGAUCAGUAGCGGGUCUGAGAGGAUGAUCCGCCACACUGGGACUGAGACACGGCCCAGACUCCUACGGGAGGCAGCAGUGGGGAAUUUUGGACAAUGGGCGCAAGCCUGAUCCAGCCAUGCCGCGUGUCUGAAGAAGGCCUUCGGGUUGUAAAGGACUUUUGUCAGGGAGGAAAUCCUAGUGGCUAAUAACUACUGGGGAUGACAGUACCUGGAGAAUAAGCACCGGCUAACUACGUGCCAGCAGCCGCCGCGG